rnacentral:rRNA from 1 species
CAAUUCUUUGAAACACCUUUAACCCUUUAUUAUUAUUAAGUAAUUUUAUACUAAUAUAAAAGCCUUUAUGCUAAAACUAGUAACAAGAAAUUGACUUUUCUCCUAAAUAUAAAUAUAAACCAAAAUGGACAAACCAUUGGUAAUUAACGCUAUAAGCCCACUGUAGUAACACACCAAGAAAACCCUAUAGAAACACACGUUAACCUAACACAAGAAUAUUCCAGGAAAGAUUAAAAGAAAAGGAAGGAACUCGGCAAAUUUUAACCCCGCCUGUUUACCAAAAACAUCGCCUCUUGAUUAAACAUAAGAGGUCUAGCCUGCCCAAUGACUUUUAAAUGGCCGCGGUACCCUGACCGUGCAAAGGUAGCAUAAUCAUUUGUUCUCUAAAUAAGGACUUGUAUCAACGGCAUCACGAGGGUUAUACUGUCUCCCUUUUUUAAUCAAUGAAACUGACCUCCCCGUGAAGAGGCGGGGAUUAAACUACAAGACGAGAAGACCCCAUGGAGCUUUAAACCCAAUAAUAAUCUUCACCUAUGUUUUUCCAUUUAGUUACAAAGAUCUUAUCUAUUGGUUUUAGGUUGGGGUGACCACGGAGUAAAACAAAACCUCCUUGACGAACGGUCUUAAUCCUAAUCCAAAGCUACCGCUCUAAGAAUCAAAAAUUUGACGUAAAAUGAUCCACAAUUGAUCAACGAACCAAGUUACCCUGGGGAUAACAGCGCAAUCCAUUUCACCUAUCAACAAAUGGGUUUACGACCUCGAUGUUGGA